AUUGAACGCUGGCGGCAGGCCUAACACAUGCAAGUCGAGCGGAUGAAGGGAGCUUGCUCCUGGAUUCAGCGGCGGACGGGUGAGUAAUGCCUAGGAAUCUGCCUGGUAGUGGGGGAUAACGUCCGGAAACGGGCGCUAAUACCGCAUACGUCCUGAGGGAGAAAGUGGGGGAUCUUCGGGCCUCACGCUAUCAGAUGAGCCUAGGUCGGAUUAGCUAGUUGGUGGGGUAAAGGCCUACCAAGGCGACGAUCCGUAACUGGUCUGAGAGGAUGAUCAGUCACACUGGAACUGAGACACGGUCCAGACUCCUACGGGAGGCAGCAGUGGGGAAUAUUGGACAAUGGGCGAAAGCCUGAUCCAGCCAUGCCGCGUGUGUGAAGAAGGUCUUCGGAUUGUAAAGCACUUUAAGUUGGGAGGAAGGGCAGUAAGUUAAUACCUUGCUGUUUUGACGUUACCAACAGAAUAAGCAUCGGCUAACUUCGUG
rnacentral:rRNA from 1 species